rnacentral:snRNA from 1 species
GUGCUCGCUUUCACAGCACAUAUACUAAAACUGGAAUGAUACAGAGAAAGAUCAGCAUGGCCCCUGUGCUAAGAUAAUACAUACAUUUGCAAGGCAUUCCAUAUUUUG